CUACGGGUCGCUCCAGUGAGGAAUAUUGCACAAUGGGGGGAACCCUGAUGCAGCAACGCCGCGUGGAGGAUGACGCAUUUCGGUGUGUAAACUCCUUUUAUAUGUCAAGAAAAUGACGGUAGCAUAUGAAUAAGCACCGGCUAACUCCGUGCCAGCAGCCGCAGUAAUACGGAGGGUGCAAGCGUUACUCGGAAUCACUGGGCGUAAAGGACGCGUAGGCGGGUCGGAAAGUCAGGUGUGAAAUCCUACAGCUUAACUGUAGAACUGCACUUGAAACUUCUAAUCUAGAGUAUGGGAGGGGGAGAUGGAAUUAGUGGUGUAGGGGUAAAAUCCGUAGAUAUCACUAGGAAUACCUAAAGCGAAGGCGAUCUCCUGGAACAUUACUGACGCUAAGGCGUGAAAGCGUGGGGAGCAAACAGGAUUAGAUACCCUCGUAGUC
rnacentral:rRNA from 1 species